GAUUAGAGUUUGAUCCUGGCUCAGAUUGAACGCUGGCGGCAUGCUUAACACAUCCAAGUCGAACGGCAGCAUGAGUAGGGGUAACCUUACUUGAUGGCGAGUGGCGGACGGGUGAGUAAUAUGUAGGAAUCUACCUAGAGGAGGGGGAUAACUUGGGGAAACUCAAGCUAAUACCACAUAAGCCCUACGGGGGAAAGCAGGGGAUCGAAAGACCUUGUGCCUUAUGAUGAGCCUACAUCGGAUUAGCUAGUUGGUGGGGUAAAGGCCUACCAAGGCGACGAUCCGUAGCUGGUCUGAGAGGAUGAUCAGCCACACUGGGACUGAGACACGGCCCAGACUCCUACGGGAGGCAGCAGUGGGGAAUAUUGGACAAUGGGCGAAAGCCUGAUCCAGCAAUGCCGCGUGUGUGAAGAAGGCCUUAGGGUUGUAAAGCACUUUCAGUGGGGAGGAAGGGUGUAAUGCUAAUACCAUUGCACAUUGACGUACCUACAGAAGAAGCAC
rnacentral:rRNA from 1 species